UACAGAGGUCUCAAGCGUUGUUCGGAUUCAUUGGGCGUAAAGGGUGCGUAGGUGGCGCUGUAAGUCGGGUGUGAAAUUCGGAGCUUAACUCCGAAACUGCAUUCGAUACUGCGGUGCUUGAGGACUGGAGAGGAGACUGGAAUUCAUGGUGUAGCAGUGAAAUGCGUAGAGAUCAUGAGGAAGACCAGUGGCGAAGGCGGGUCUCUGGACAGUUCC
rnacentral:rRNA from 1 species